UUUUUUGAUUCCGAUGCUGCCCUUAAACCUGUUCAAAAUCUCAGACCUCAAAUCUUCUCUCUCUCUCGUUACCCAAGCUCCGAUCCAACGACCAGUACGGUGAAGACAACGAUGACGAGGCCGUGCCAUAGAACGCCAAGGUUGAGGAGGAGAAGAAGUCGAAGUCGAAGAAACCGAAGAAGCCUAAGGUUACCAUGGCUGAGGCGGUAGGGAAGAUUGAAGUGAACGAUCUCUCGGCGGAGCUGAUCCAACUUCUGCAAUUAUGAGGAAGAUAUAUGGGUGAUGAAGUUCGCGGACAUUUUCGGCCGGGCAUUAUCUGCAGUGACUUCCGCCCAGUUUCCAUGGGUCAAGAUGUUCAAGGAGCCAACUGUGGUGAAGAUUUCCAAUGUGACUUUUCAAAAUUUCUAUGAGAAUUAUGCUUUUACUUUUGAAUCUGAAAUCUUGUUCUUCCUGCAUGGCUGAUGAUCUAGUUUUUUAGUUUAGCUGGUGUAAUAGUUAAAAGGAAUUAUAUCUGUCUUUAGGUUAUAUUUGAUGUUUUUGUGAAUCAUUGUGCUGUAUACUCAUUCAUAUUGGUCUUCAUUCUAUUAUCUAUAGAUAGUGACAUUCAUAAA